UAUUGUGUGUUUAAGGUUAUUGAUUGUGGGUGAACAUCUAGACAAUUUCUUUAGUUUGAUUGCCCCAGAUGCAGAGUAUUUAUACAGUAUUAACUCAAAUGAAUGAAGUGAUUCUCUCAUCUGCAAAUUUCUGCGAUCAAAACUCUAUAAGCCAAAUUUAUGCAGCCUCUUCUCAUAUCUAUUUAAUCCUUGGCAACUUCUCUUGGACUAUACAAUUCUUCUUGAAGUGUGGUGUUCCAUUUAUAGGGAGUCUUUUCAUUGAUCUUUAUCAAAUUUCACUUUAUAUUCAAAGCUUAUAGUUUAUUUCUGCAAGUCUCUAUUUGCUGUGCAUUUGCAUGUAUUCACAGGCACCUUUGCACCUCAACCAUUCACAGUUUUUCCACAUUCUGUGAGGUAUUAGAAUACUUCUUCCUUGAGGCCAAAGUGAACAAUUCCACAAAAAAACUUCAUUUGUCAUUAUCAUGCCACUCAAUUAUUCUACAUAUUCUCUUUCAACUUCCCACUACACUCACAAAAGGAUUUAGAGUAAUUUGGGACUUGCAGACAGCAUAUACUUUUCCUUUACCCAAGCUGUUCAUUAAUAUGAUAAAAAGUUGAGGAUCCAGGGCAAGACCUAGGGAACACCAUUUUUCUCCUCUUGCCAGUCAAAUCCAUUUCCUGUUCUUGGUCUUUUAUCCUCUGAUUUUAAUCCAGAAUCCGUCAAUGUGGCAAGUCCAGAACUGCGCUUGAAGAACCCAUCUGAGUACAGACUUGGCUGAGAAGCAAUGUGCACAGGCACCCUUUUGUUUCCUUACAACCAAAGUUAAAACACUGAGUAAGGAGCAUUUUGCAAGAAAGAAAAGAUGUUGCCUGGCCUUCUGAGUUCCUCCAGCAUUUUGUGUGUGUUGCUUUGGAUUUUUGAGUGGGAGUCAGCUGAAGUGGAGCAGGUUCCAGAGAUGAACGAAAGCUGAACAGAAGCAAUAGGUUCAAGUCAUGAUGUCACGGUCCGUCACCAGAAGCUAGUCACUGGAAGUCAGUCUAGCGAUUCACGUUCAGUGCUGCCGAGAAGUCUGUACCAUAACCGGAGCUGUCGAGAAUCGUAGACUCUAAGUUGCUGCAGUGCCGGUGGCUGCUUAGUGAAUUCAGUCGUUUUCGUAUCCAGCUGAGUCCAGCUGCAACUCUGAGUCUGGAUGCGAAUCCUGUUGUCCUCAUGUCCGGCUGAGAAUUGCUCACCGUAGCCUGUGCGGUAUGCAUGUUCCGAGCCGCUGGGAAUAAGGGACCGUCUUCCGAGCCCGAGUCAAGUCAAGUUUUGAGCCGGAGUCAAGUUCCGGGAUCGAGUCCUGAUGCACCAUCAAUAACUCACACUGAGACGUAAGAGAGAGCAUGCCGAUGAGUGAAAUUCAGAGGGAACCAGGCGUUCUCAUACACGAAUGACAAAAAGUUUGCAGGCAUGUCGAAUGAGGAGUUCAUGAAGACUGGUUCUUGUUUGCAUUAAUGGUCAAUACCUCCAUACACCUAAAGGAUGCCCUUUGUGUACCAGUCCAUUUCAGCAUCCAUUCAGGGGAAAUUAGCAAUGAGCAAAUACUGGCAAUGGCAACAACGCCCAUGUCCCACAGCUGGAACUAUCUUCGCCGUGGAAGGGAGAGGGACCCAGUUUUGUUACUGCGAUCAAAGUCACCGGAGAGACACUGAAGCGUGUGAUUGAUUCGCACAACAAGCAGACAUUCUUCUGGAGACAAUCUCGGUAGAGACUCACAAACCCAAAGUGUGGUGAACUAUGUGCCUGUCGGGACACGCCCCUGCUGACUGCUCCUGUGGCUCCUCCCACAGGCCCCUGUAUAAAGGAGAUCUGCGGCCUGACGCUCGGCCUCAGUCUCCACGACAUUGUAUGAUAGACACUCACUCCUGGUUCCUUCUUCCAGUCAAUAAAAGCCGAUA